rnacentral:rRNA from 1 species
UACGGGGGGGGCAAGCGUUGUUCGGAAUUACUGGGCGUAAAGGGUGCGUAGGCGGCUUUCUAAGUUGGAUGUGAAAACUAUGGGCUCAACCCAUAGCCUGCAUCCAAAACUGGAGAGCUUGGGUUCUGGAGGGGAAAGCGGAAUUCCUGGUGUAGCGGUGAAAUGCGUAGAUAUCAAGAGGAACACCUGAGGUGAAGACGGGUUGCUGGGCUGACACUGACGCUGAGUGCGCGAAAGCCAGGGGAGCAAACGGG